rnacentral:misc_RNA from 1 species
UCCGGUUUGACACCGGCAGUCUCGCUAGAGUACUGGCUUUCGCCGAGCAACUAACGAUAGGGGUUGCGCUCGUUAGAGGACUUAACCCGACGCUUCACAGCACGAGCUGACGACAGCCAUGCAGCACCUGUAACCGUUGUACCCUUGCGGGCCUUGCUCCUCUUUCAAAGAGUUAAUCCGGCUAUGUCAAGCCCAGGUAAGGUUCUUCGCGUUGCCUCGAAUUAAGCAACAUGCUCCACCGCUUGUGUGAGCCCCCGUCAAUUCAUUUGAGUUUUAGCCUUGCGACCGUACUCCCCAGGCGGUACGCUUAUCGUUUUCACGUCGACCGAUACGGCGUCAAAACCGCACCGAUCUAGCGUACAUCGUUUACGGCGUGGACUAC